rnacentral:lncRNA from 1 species
GUUUCCACGGCUGGCAGCCCGGCUCCCUGCCGCCCGCCCGCUUCUGGGCUUCUUGGCUGGGGCUGCUCCUGACAGAAGGGAUGCGUGUUGUCGGGGGCGGGGGGCGGCGUGUGUGCGUGUGCGUGUGCGAGAGUAUGUGUGUGCGCUUAAAAUACAAAAAAAAGAAGGCUGGCUACACUCAGCUGCGAGAGGCUGGCCGGGCUCCGUCCGUGCCAAUUCCCUCCGAGCUGGCACCGUGGGGACCGGGAGGGGGGAGAGGUGAGGGAAGAUGGACGCUUGCCACGGACGAGCGGCAGGGCUGGGCGCCUCCCCGGUGCCAGCGGGCGCACGGGGCCAAAACUCACAAACAAAAACCGCAGCAGAUCGCUGGCAGCCCGUCCUGGGGAGGCGGCAGCCACUUGGCAGAGGAGCCAUGGAGGACCCGGUAGGGAGUAGGCGGCCGGCGCACAGGUGGCCUCAAACAGCCUCAGAACCUUUCCUGACACAGAUUUCGGGCAGGCACGAUGAACUGACUGGCCUGGAAGAUGACUCUUGUUUGCCGUCCUGAAUUCCAAGGGCGCCGUCCAGCCAAGAUGCUGAAGUGUAAGGUCCUGUUGACUCUGUCCAUCGUCCUCACGACACUGUGGGUACAUUGUGGGUUCCGGACUGCCUCUUCAACUCUGCAUUUUCCUGACACACAGGAAUGGGCCCCAGGAAAUGCUGGUGGAGAGAAAUGAAUGACUAACUGUUUAUAAUUCUAAGUCCUUUUGCUUCUGAGCCUGGACAGGACAAUGGCUGGGGUCCUAGGACCUACAUCUGCUCCUGAUGCAAGCAAAGUGUUGGAUCCCAUCAGGAGCUCCAGCCUCACACUCACGUUUUAGGAAACUCCCGGAUGGAGCACGCAAUGUGAGCCCCAGUUAACCAACACAGUGCGUCUCCUUGGCCACAUUUAGGCUCAGGGGUAGGCCCACAACACCGUCAGAGCAAAUGAGAUGCAACAAGGUUUCCCCACCCAUUGGGAAUUCUUGGAGGUGGCCCCUCGCUCGUUCCCCAGGGUGGACACUGGGAGGAUUGUAGGGGUCAAGUUCAGCAUCUUGCAAUCACAAGAGGCCUGAGAAUGGAAGCAACAUUAGGAUCUUGGUGUUGGAGAAGUUAAAGAGAGAAACCAAGUCCUGGAUUAACCUGUUCCUGAAGCUUGAUCAAUCCCAUGGUCACCCCAGUAUAUGAGCCAAUAAAUUUGCUUUUUGGUUUAAGACCAUUUUGGGUGGAUUUUCCAUCCUUCACAAAAGAGGA